rnacentral:rRNA from 1 species
AUGGGCUGCGUGUGCGGCCGCCCCGCGGCCAUCGACGACGGCCGGUGCGUCCAGACGCCCCCGCCGGCGGGGAAGCUCUCGGCGGCGGGAGCGGCGGUGCCGAGGAGGGAGGAGGAGGCGCGGAAGCAGGCGCGGGCGCGGGAUGAGGCGCUGGAGAGGAGGCGGGCGGCCGCGAUGGCCAUGGCGGCGUGCCAGGUGCGGAGCCCCGUGCCGAGGGCGCUGGAGGCGGAGCAGGUGGCGGCCGGGUGGCCGCCGUGGCUCGCCUCCGUCGCCGCCGAGGCCGUGCGCGGCUGGGUGCCGCGCCGCGCCGAGUCCUUCGAGAAGCUCGACAAGAUUGGUCAGGGAACAUACAGUAAUGUCUACAGAGCUCGUGAUCUUGAAAAACAGAAGAUUGUUGCUCUAAAGAAAGUACGCUUUGAUAAUUUGGAGCCCGAGAGUGUGAAAUUCAUGGCCAGAGAAAUCCUCAUUUUGCGACGGCUUGAUCAUCCAAAUAUUAUUAAGCUGGAGGGUCUCGUAACUUCGAGGAUGUCUUGUAGCUUAUAUCUUGUUUUUGAGUACAUGGAGCACGACCUAGCUGGCCUAGCUUCUUUUCCUGGACUAAAAUUGACCGAGCCUCAGGUUAAAUGUUACAUGCAACAGUUACUCCGAGGCCUUGAGCAUUGUCAUAGUCGUCACAUUCUGCACCGUGACAUUAAGGGUUCCAAUCUCUUGAUUGAUAACCGAGGCAUACUGAAGAUAGCUGAUUUUGGCUUAGCAAGUUUCUUUGAUCCUGAACAAAGGCACCCUUUGACUAGUCGUGUGGUCACACUUUGGUAUAGACCGCCAGAACUUCUGCUUGGUGCCACGAAUUAUGGCGUUGCUGUAGAUCUGUGGAGUACUGGCUGCAUUCUUUCUGAGCUAUAUGCUGGCAAGCCUAUUAUGCCUGGUAGAACAGAGGUUGAGCAGUUACAUAAAAUAUUUAAACUCUGUGGUUCGCCAUCAGAGGACUAUUGGAGGAAGUCUAAACUUCCCCAUGCAACCAUUUUUAAGCCACAGCAUCCAUAUCCAAGGCGUGUUACAGACACAUUUAAAGACUUUCCUUCACCUGCUCUAGCAUUAGUAGAUGUUCUUCUUUCAGUAGACCCAGCUGAGCGACGGACAGCAUCUUCUGCGUUGCAAAGUGAGUUUUUUACAACAAAACCAUAUGCUUGCAAUCCUUCAAGUCUGCCAAGAUAUCCCCCCAGCAAAGAGUAUGAUGCAAAACGCCGAGAGGAGGAAGGUCGAAGGCAAGGUACUGCUGGAGGAAAGCAACAUCCUGAAAGACGAACUAGAGAGUCAAAAGCAGUCCCUGCACCUGAUGCAAAUGCAGAACUAGUGUCAUCUUUGCAGAAAAGGCAAGCCCAAGCCAAUACCAAGAGCAGGAGUGAGAUGUUCAAUCCUUGCAAGGAAGACUCUGCAUCUGGAUUUCCAAUUGAACCACCCAGUUCAACUCACAUCAUUGAAUCGUCGGAGGACUCCAAACGCGUCUACCCAACGAGAACCUUCCAUUCUGGGCCUUUAGUUAACCCGUCAAAGACUGGAACGAGCAAACAUGGCGAACAUCAUGUACGUGCCGUUGCGGAUCCCCGGAAUUUCCCUGUGGUCGUAUCAGCAAAAUCAGAUGCGCGUCCGGAUGAUAGCAAUGGGAUCGGGUUUACUCAAGCUGAAGCAUUUGCUCAUGGACGGAGGCUGUCUGAAUCUAUCAACGGGCACUUCAGUGGUAGCGGGAAGUACGACCAAGUAUUCCAGCAGAAAGAGGACAAGAGCGGCGGCAGGGUGGAUGGAGGAGCUAUUGGCUACGGAUCCAAAGGCAACAAGAUCCACCACUCGGGGCCUCUGACCUCCUGCCCCUCGGGCAACGUCGACGAGAUGCUCAAGGAGAACGACCGGCAAAUCCAGGAGGUUUUCCGGCGAACCCGGGUGGAGAAGUCCCGGGUGAGGAGGGCCCAUGGGCACGGGCACGCCGGAGAGGCCGGGCUACGGGACUUCGGCGCCGUCCCGGUCUUCCCUUCCAGCCGCUCCAGCUACCGAGCCGCGCCCCAGUGA